rnacentral:rRNA from 1 species
CCAUGCCGCGUGAGUGAAGAAGGCCUUCGGGUUGUAAAGCUCUUUCGCAAGGGAAGAAAACGUGUGGGCUAAUAUCCUGCGCGGAUGACGGUACCUUGACAAGAAGCACCGGCUAACUACGUGCCAGCAGCCGCGGUAAUA